rnacentral:rRNA from 1 species
ACCAUGCAGUCGAACGGCAGCGCGGGGCAACCUGGCGGCGAGUGGCGAACGGGUGAGUAAUAUAUCGGAACGUACCCUGGAGUGGGGGAUAACGUAGCGAAAGUUACGCUAAUACCGCAUACGAUCUAAGGAUGAAAGUGGGGGCUCGCAAGACCUCAUGCUCCUGGAGCGGCCGAUAUCUGAUUAGCUAGUUGGUAGGGUAAAAGCCUACCAAGGCAUCGAUCAGUAGCUGGUCUGAGAGGACGACCAGCCACACUGGAACUGAGACACGGUCCAGACUCCUACGGGAGGCAGCAGUGGGGAAUUUUGGACAAUGGGCGCAAGCCUGAUCCAGCAAUGCCGCGUGAGUGAAGAAGGCCUUCGGGUUGUAAAGCUCUUUUGUCAGGGAAGAAACGGGGUUGGCUAAUAUCUGAUCCUAAUGACGGUACCUGAAGAAUAAGCACCGGCUAACUACGUGCCAGCAGCCGCGGUAAUACGUAGGGUGCAAGCGUUAAUCGGAAUUACUGGGCGUAAAGCGUGCGCAGGCGGUUUUGUAAGACUGACGUGAAAUCCCCGGGCUCAACCUGGGAAUGGCGUUGGUGACUGCAAGGCUAGAGUUUGGCAGAGGGGGGUAGAAUUCCACGUGUAGCAGUGAAAUGCGUAGAUAUGUGGAGGAACACCGAUGGCGAAUGCAGCCCCCUGGGUCAAAACUGACGCUCAUGCACGAAAGCGUGGGGAGCAAACAGGAUUAGAUACCCUGGUAGUCCACGCCCUAAACGAUGUCUACUAGUUGUCGGGUCUUAAUUGACUUGGUAACGCAGCUAACGCGUGAAGUAGACCGCCUGGGGGAGUACGGUCGCAGAUUAAAACUCAAAGGAAUUUGACG